rnacentral:rRNA from 1 species
GAUGAACGCUGGCGGCGUGCUUAACACAUGCAAGUCGAACGGAAAGGCCCAAGCUUGCUUGGGUACUCGAGUGGCGAACGGGUGAGUAACACGUGGGUGAUCUGCCCUGCACUUCGGGAUAAGCCUGGGAAACUGGGUCUAAUACCGGAUAGGACCACUUCUUGGAUGUUGUGGUGGAAAGUUUUUUCGGUGUGGGAUGAGCUCGCGGCCUAUCAGCUUGUUGGUGGGGUAAUGGCCUACCAAGGCGUCGACGGGUAGCCGGCCUGAGAGGGUGUACGGCCACAUUGGGACUGAGAUACGGCCCAGACUCCUACGGGAGGCAGCAGUGGGGAAGAUUGCACAAUGGGCGCAAGCCUGAUGCAGCGACGCCGCGGGGGGGAUGACGGCCUUCGGGUUGUAAACUCCGUUCGCUAGGGACGAAGCGUUUUGUGACGGUACCUGGAGAAGAAGCACCGGCUAACUACGUG